GUGUGUUUGAAGGGAGAAGUCCAUUGAGUCUCUAAUUGACUUUUCUUUCAGCUCCAGUGUGAACUAUAAAACCAUAAUCACUCAGUUCUUGGAAAAGUCAAACAACGUGGUGGACAUUUUGUCACAUUUUAGAAGCAGUCAGAUUCCCCCAAACGGCACGUGAACCUGAGUGCGGAUACUGCAAUUUUCAGAGGGAAGAAUGGCAGCUCUUAUGGGUGGGGGACGGGAACUGUCACUCAUUUUGCACAACUCUUGAACUGAUGUCAGCACCCAAAUGGCUCCUGAAUUUAAGUCUGGGAGGACAUCUUUUUAUUUUUACAUGAAUCUUUAAACAAUUCUGUGAGCAGAGUUUCUAGCUGCUGGAUUGUUGUCUGUCUUUAUAGCAGGUCCCAGUGAACCACAAGAAUGGCGAGGGUUAUCUGGUUACAGUUGGAUCAAUCAGUAUAUAUCAGAUUUCUGGUGUUUCAAGCAAGAAGCGGGCGGAGUAAACGCGUGUGACCACUUAAAGCUGCUUGUUAACAUGGAAGACUUCUCCACUCUCCCUUAGUGAGAACAAAUACACACUUGACAUGGGAGCAAACUGGUUCUGAACUUUGUGACUGUUUGCUAGUGACGCAACUAUUGGUUUUUUGUCAACUGGGCAAUAUGGGUAAAAUUUCCUUUUUUCCCUAAGAAUGAGGUCUUCCAUGUUUGAGGAAAUGUCUUGCACUAUUGCAUAUAUUUUGUGGACACAGAUUUUUGUAGUUUCCAUUUUGGAAGGCUAAAGUGUUUUGUUUGUUUGAAACAGUUUUACACUUUCUAAUGUACAGUACUUGAAGUUCGUACUAGAGAAUUCCUUUGUAGUUUUGAAGCUUUUAUCCAAACUACUUUGAAAUAGGUGGCUUUCUUGUCAGUGGUUUGCCCCCCAGGUGUAAUUUUUCUUUUGUUAUUAUUCCUCCUCCUAUUGUGUAUAGGUGUGUAUAUGUGUGUAAAUAUUUCACACAACAACAUCUGUACAAGCAUAUAUAUUUCAAAUCCAAGAUCUUGCCCUGUAACCCAUAUCUACUGUUCUGGCGACAAAAGACAGAUGUUAAGUGUAACAGAUAAUUGGAGCUACGAGCCAUUCAGCUUCAGCCUUUCCAGACCACACACGAGACAUUAACCAUCCCAUGGAGAAGUUUACAUGGUGACUGUUCACCUGCAGUACUGUGGACUUUGAACAUUUUGUCCCCUUUCCAGUGAAAAACUAAAAAGUAGUCAUCUGCCAUUACUGUUAUUUGCUGAUUUUAUUUUAUUUUGAUGGUAAUAUUCUAUCCUUAUGACACUAUUGCAACCAAAUUGGCUUUACCAUCUUGGCUUUAGUAGGUAUAGAAGAAAGUGGAUUACCAUCUUUAUUUUGUAAUGUGUUAAAUAAGCAUUAUAUGCUGGUAGAAUCUAGUUUAAUUGUUUCAGGUAGAAAGUAUUCUUUUGAGUUUCCAUUUUGAAUGUGUUUGGACUAAAACAAUAAACUACUGAUGUCUGC
rnacentral:lncRNA from 1 species